CUCACAGAGGUCCACCUGCCUCUCUCUCCUGAGUGCUGGAAUUAAAGGCAUGCGCCACCACCACCCAGCAAAACUCAGGUUUUUAUACUUGGAUGCUGAUCACUUUUCCCACUGAAGUUUCUCCCCAACUCUGUUUAUUUGUAUUUCAGAAAAGUCAAGAGUCUCCCAGUGUUGGCCAGGCUGGGCUUGACGUCGAGGCUUCAGGUGAUCCUCCUUCAGCCUCUCUCGUAGCCAGGACUACAGCCAUACUCCACCACAGGCAUUACCUGCUGCUCCAGAGACUGCACCACUUCUCUCUGGAGGAGGCACUGGGCCUUGCCCUUCUCAUCCAAGAGGUGAUCUGCUUGGCAGUGCCUGAGCAAAGAGAAGAUUCCAUGUAGCUGGCCAUGGUGGGUGUACCAGUUAGGGACAUUCUAGACCCUUUGGGAGAUUUCCCUAUGCUCAUCCCCCCGCCCCCAUUCACCUUAAACACAUACUCUUUAGCAACUACAGGCUUCCAGGCCUGAGCUUGUUUACUGAGUCUGGAAAAAGUGCUGGGGAUGACAUUAGAAAGGAGCUAAACACGGGAUAGCAUUUCAAGUGGCAGGCGCAGCCUAUGCCAAGGCCUGGCCAUGCAGGACCUGUACCAUUGCCAAGGUAGAAAGAGGGGAAAGAGCUCUAGUCAUCUAGAGGAGCAGAAAUUUGAGGCAUGAGGAAAGCAGGACAAAGUAGUUAGGUGUGUGGGUUCUGGAACCUGGCUACCUGUGUUCAUAGUCAAGAUUCAUCACUCAGGACCUAUGCGAGCUUGACUGACCCUUAAUUCUCUGUGGCCUUCGAUGCUUUUGUGU
rnacentral:sRNA from 1 species